rnacentral:rRNA from 1 species
GGCAACGAUGCGUAGCCGACCUGAGAGGGUGAUCGGCCACACUGGGACUGAGACACGGCCCAGACUCCUACGGGAGGCAGCAGUAGGGAAUCUUCCGCAAUGGACGAAAGUCUGACGGAGCAACGCCGCGUGAGUGAUGAAGGUUUUCGGAUCGUAAAGCUCUGUUGUUAGGGAAGAACAAGUACCGUUCGAAUAGGGCGGUACCUUGACGGUACCUAACCAGAAAGCCACGGCUAACUACGUGCCAGCAGCCGCGGUAAUACGUAGGUGGCAAGCGUUGUCCGGAAUUAUUGGGCGUAAAGGGCUCGCAGGCGGUUUCUUAAGUCUGAUGUGAAAGCCCCCGGCUCAACCGGGGAGGGUCAUUGGAAACUGGGGAACUUGAGUGCAGAAGAGGAGAGUGGAAUUCCACGUGUAGCGGUGAAAUGCGUAGAGAUGUGGAGGAACACCAGUGGCGAAGGCGACUCUCUGGUCUGUAACUGACGCUGAGGAGCGAAAGCGUGGGGAGCGAACAGGAUUAGAUACCCUGGUAGUCCACGCCGUAAACGAUGAGUGCUAAGUGUUAGGGGGUU